CGGGGGGGGAGGCGACGGUGGCCGCGGGGUGGCCGAGGCUCACCCCCGCGCAACGGAACUGUUGGUGCGCUCCGACGGCGCGGAAGCCUCCGCCGAGCGCCGCCUUCUGACAGACAAAGAAGAACUACAAACCUCAGCCAGUCAGGAGCAACCACCAUCAACAAGCCUACUGCCCACUGUGGGAGAAGUAACAGUUCUAUUGAUGCAUCUCAGUGGGGAUGAAUUUCAGAAACAGCACUGCAGCCUCACUUUCUCUUUAGAGAGGUAUCAACACACAUAUACAAGAUCCUGGAUUUGUGCAAGUCACACAGGGACAAAAAUUAAGUUUGACACACUGUGUCUAGUACUGACAGACAGCAGAAGAAAUGAUUUCCUUGAGCUACGUGCUGUAGCUUUUACUAUAGUCGGUUUUGAUUGUGGUUUAAGAACAGAUACUGUAUUUCUAGCAUAUACGUUGUUGCUACUCCAGUCCACAGGGAAGCUGAAAAUUUUCAUGCUUUUUGUGUGAGCUUUGUUAAAAGAUUUGAGAUGCUGAACAAACAAAUUUUUGCUAUUCAGUUAAACUUUAAUAUCCUGAGUAAGACAGCAAUGUGCUUAAUACAGAGGAACUUGCAAAGGUUUCUUAACAGAAAUCUUUCUCUGAAAAGGGAAUAGCAUGUCACUAUUGUUUUAUUGAAUCAGAUUUUCUAGUUCUCCUUUUCUGCGUAUUUAAGUAAGUACUGUUGGAGGCAUGAGGAGAAGACGAAAAUGAUUCAAACAGUAGAUUCUCACUUAAUAAUCAACUAUUUCCUGGAUCACAAGGGGUAUUUUUCCUAGGUAUUUAGUUAUGUAAAUAAAGCUCUGUGUAGUGCAAAAUCCUACAGUAAAAAUAAAUGCCUCAGAACAAUACCAGCAGUUUUCUAUUGUUCACCAGAUAUUACUCCUGGGGAUAAAAUCAAUUUGAGAUUUCCUGUGUUUUGUAUGAUAAGAAUCUCCUGUCUGUCCACAAACAGAUUACUUUUCACAACAUUACGAAUCAAUUAAUCAGUAAAAUGGACCAAACCAUGCAGACAGAUUAAACAAACUUUUCCUCAUCAUUUAAAAAAAUAAAUAAAAAUCUAUAUUUAAAGCAAUGGUGAAAUUUUUGACUGCAAAAUGUAUCUUAAUACACUGCAAGCAAUUGAACAGCCAUAGAAAGAUCAUCUCAAGAUUACUAGUCCUAUUUAAUAGUCCUAACAGUCAGGCAGAUGCAAUUCAUCUAUCACACCUCAGGCCAACUGAGGAGAAAGAAAUACAAAUUAAAACAAUCAAACAAAAAACAAAACAACAAAAGACAGCCUCUUAUUGUAUGCAAAAAGAUGGGACAAAUAGUAUUUUUCAAGUCACCAUUUUGUUAUUUGAGUUCGCACCAUUCCUUGAAAGCACUCUGUUUAGACUCCUUGUGAGUGUAAAUCAUUACUUUUGAGGAAAAAAUAAUGAGAAAAGAGAAAGAGGAACAUGGAAGUUUUUCAGAUUAAGGGCACGAUCCUGUUUCUGUUGGACAAAGUUCUUCUAAGUUCCAUGUUGCCUGCAUUUUGUGUGUCUGGAGAGUUUAAGGAAAGCCUGAAACAGUCCAAAUAGCAUGUAAAACCUUUGAGCUAUACCCUGUUUAAUAAUUCUUUCAACCCUAGUUGUAGCUGAAUCAAAUCAACAAUAACAGUAACUACAGGGCAUUCCUAUUUAUCUUAGGAGCCACCAUGUGCAUAUCUACUUAAGGAGCAGAUUCACAAAGGAAUUCAAGCCAACUUAAGCCUCAUUACUGAUUUAAGAAAGCAAAACAAAACUGCUGUCUUCUUUUUACCUCCAUGAAUCUGGCUCUGCUUCUCAAGUGGAUGUACAGUGUAACAUUGGCUGGAGAAAAGAACUGAGGCAUCUGAGAAUUAACCCUGUUAUUAAAAAGCAUUCCAGCUUACUGCUUGAACAGAGUUGCACCAAUAGAAGAAAGCAGUGGCUCAGGGCAGGAGCUUGGACCAGGCUUUGCAAAGGAAACCUAGGCUGUGAGUGACCUCAGCCAUCUGCAGAAACACCAGGAAGCUGAUGAAACCUUACUUGGCAUGAAAUGGGCAUGCAGGGACAACACAGAGGAUAUAACUUUGUCACUGUUUUGGUUUGGAUGAGAAGCAUGCAUGCUUUGGGUUCAUGUGAAGGAAUGAUUUUAGAUGUAACUGAACUAUAAAGUGCUUGCUAUGGGUGCAGUCAUUGUGUUCACUCAGUCCACAAGCCAAAAAGCAUCAGCUGAUCCAGUCUACAAAAUUCACUCCCAGGCUGCACUAAUUGCAGAUAUAGACAUAACUAUGCCUUCCAUCCUGGGGUUAACUUCAGUCAUUUACUGCUGCCUGCACUGAAAGCACUGCUGCUGUUUGCUCAGCCAAAAAUCUGACGACAGAGGGGCAGAGUAUGUGUAACUCUGUUUAUUAAUAUUUAUCUUUUCCCCACAAAUCUUCCUGCUGAAUGAAGGAAAUAUUACUUAUAUUCUGCUAUACUAUUGGAGUUCUGGAGAUGCACUCUCAUCUGAAGCAUAAAGGAAUUAAUUCUGAUUUGGAUUAUUUUGUCUCUGGUAUUCGUAGGGAUGUAGUUCUCAGCUUUGGAAGAGAUGGAAGGCAGGGAGAAAGUCAAUAUCCUCUUUCAGCAGCUUCCAGAUAGCACAGUGCCUACAAGAGAGUCAUCUACACUGUUAGGAACUAGAACUGAACAGAUAAUUAUUGUUUUUCUGUUUGGGAAAGAAAGGAAACAGAGGAAGGAAAAGUAUGUUAGAUGGAGUCUGAUAGUGCUGGCUCCUAAACUGGAAAACCAUGACCACAGGAUAUAAUCUCUUUCUUCCAUUUCUUGUUUUUUUGUACUAGAUAUGACAAGGUGAAGUCUGAAAGAAAACCAAGUGAUUUGUUACGAAUCAUUUAUUCUUCAAGUUGAUCAAGAAAGCAGUGAUUGUUACUGAUCAGGCAAUACUAUGUAAAUAAAACAAUAGGAGGCAACAUAGGAAGCUAAAUUGGCAUGGAUUGCCAGUUUACAAAGAAACACCAAGGGAAAGAACAACAACAUGAAAAAAAAAACAAUGCACAAAGCUGUACCUGGGCAGUACUGCCAGGAAAAAGACAUUGGAUCCAAAUCUGCAAUUAGAUGAACAGGGCAUGGUAAUGGUUUCAGGGUAGAAAGAUUAAAAUUGAUAGGAAGUCCUUGUGGCUGAGGUGGGAGGCUUGGUGGUUCUAUAUGGAAGCCCCAGAUACAGCCUGCAUCAGACAAAAGGAACUGAGAAAAAGUACUAAGGAAGGUUUAUAAAUUUAUUUGGAUUUCAGUAGAUUAUUUUUCUAUAUGCUGACAACCAAAAAUAAAUUUCAGGUACUGCUUUUUUUCAUUGCUACUCCUUCAUGAAAGAAGCAUGGAAGUUAAGUAAUUUCAUGAGUUAACAAAAAGAUUUUAUCCUUUCUCUUAAGAUGCUAACAAUUAAAAUAUAUGUAGCAGGAUUUUCCCUAGGGUAACUCUACAGUUCUUCAAGGUACAAGGGCAUAUUAGAGAUUACACAGUUAUUAUAAAACCAGUGUAAUGGCAACACAUGCUGUCACCUGGCAGUAUGUGUCUAAUUGAUCUUACUCAAUUACUUAAUUUUAUGACUCGCUUUAGUAAAGGUUAAGACAUUGAUGUUUUAGAAGGCUGUGCUGAAUAAUACCAUUGUUGGAGAUUACUUUCUCAUGUAAUUGCUUCAUUAAAAGCAGGUAAAUAGAGGAAGAGUCAUCCUGUCAGGAAGCACACUGAAACGGAAUAUCCUAUGUCAAAGCAACAGCAUUACUGUCUUACAUACGUAUGUUUUCUAGUGUCUCCCUUUUUGGAGUGGGAAAUACUUGCCUCUUUUUGACUUGCAUAAAUGACAGUAAACUCAAGUGAGAAACUCCUCUACAAUUUUAGCAUUUUUAAGCAUGACAGGGAACAAGAAGGAAAGGCAGCUCAGUGGGCUCUUUGUAGGCCUGUCAACAAAUAUUUGUACUUCAACAAGUAUUUUCAACUGCAAAGCCACAGUUUAUGUGUAGGUGGGAAAGGGUGCUGUGGUUCAGAAGCAAUACUCACUGCAUGCAUGUUCAAGAUAUGCAAAGGAAAAUUUAUUCCAGAGCCUUUGCUAUGGAGCAGUGUCUCUGUAUCCAGUCCUCUUCUGUUAUCCCAGUUUCCCUAAUGCAAUUUUAGUCAGACAAUCUGUGGUCAUAGGCUGAGUGAAGUAUUUAGUCCUUCACUGAAGGGACUUGUGAAGCCACAUUUAGGGAUCAGGAGGGAAAAAUGUGUCAUGUUUUUUCAUACAGCCCUGUGUUGUUACGAUGUUUCCAGUUCUUCUCUGUCAAGGUGAUGCUCAUAUACCUUCACAGGAAACUGCAUGCUGUAAAUAUCGUGGCUUUGAUAACCAUUGUUGAUGUUAUCCUAGCAGGCAAAUAUCAGUACCUUCAAGCUGUUGCCUGCUAGAACCUUCUCAUCCUUUCUUUCUGUCUUUCCCUGGACCUGCCCAGCAGCCAGCUGGAAGACACCCUUCCAGCUCCCAACACUGGGUGUGUCUGGUCUCCCAGCAGAGGAUGCUGAAGGAGUGUCAAUGGGAGCAGAUACAGUUCACCUCACAGGAGAUGGGACCAUUUCUGGGGGAGAUACAGGAGGAGAUUCAAUAGAGCUGUCUCAGUAGAGCAGUGGAGGCUCUAGAAAGGGCGGCACUGCUUCACCACCAUGUUUUUUCUCUACUCUUUUUUGUAGGCCUUUUUCUGGGGAUGCAGAAUGCCCAUGCCCUGGAUUCUUUGGUGGAGUUUUACUGUACGCAUCCUUCCCAUAUACAGCAGGAGCAGACCUAUGCAAGCUCACUCUCCAAUAAACAACAUUUAAACCAAAUGGUUUAGUUCGAUCUCUUGACUCAUUUGUCUUUCACUUAGAGCAGUGAAUCUAAUGCAACAAAUAUCAUAAUUUCCCUCCCUUUGUUUUUUUGUUUGUUUGUUUGUUUGUUUGUUUUGUCUGCUAUCCCCAUUGGAACACAUCUGCUUUCAUUGGUAGUAGUGCUACCAUGGAAGCACAUGCUGCUUCUCCACUCUGCUCCUUCAUUGAGUUCGGCCACUUCUUACUCUUCUAGAACUAAAGUAUAUGAGCUUGCAUUUGGCUACUUCAGAAGGCAUGUUAGUUGAACGAGCCCAGUUUAUCCUGGAAACUGGAUCACACUCUGUAGUGUCCAUUGUCAUCACCAUUUAUUACUUCAUCUGCGCUUUUGGCUCUGCAAAAAGAGACAAAAAAAAAACCCCAAACAAACAAACAAACAAAAAAAACCCAAAACAUUAUUUGAUUUUUUAAAUAUGUUUCCAGAUUAUUCAUAAAAUUAUUACCGGCUCUUGGGUUUUUAAGGUUUUGAUGCUAUUUUGUAAGAUCUGUAAUAUAACAUAUCUUUUUUUCCCAUGUGCCUUAUUAAUGUUAUGCAAUACUAAAUCAUUUUAGUUUGAAGGCCACAAAGUAUCAAGUUAAAUACUGUUCCUAAGUGUAUUACCUCAGCACUGUUGCAAACAUCAAUAUAUUUUUAAGUUCAGCAGAGAACAACCUGAGUUCAGCUGACGAGGCCUUUUUGCAAAACUCUUAGAGUGUUAAUCUGCUUUCAUUGACUGAACUUCAUCUUUUACAUUUUAUAAAUUAUGAGGUCAACCACGUUGUUUGAGUUCAGCUUUGGAGGAUUUCCAUUGUACGCUCAGCAAGGCAGAAAACUCCUCAGCUAGAUCUUCUACAACUACUGACUGAAAGAUAUCUGUGCUCUCCUUUUACCAUAUUUGUUUCUAAUAAAUGUGUUUUAGUAUUUAACUUGUAGACUGGCAAACUGUACAAUAUUCUGAUCAGAUAUAAAUACUUCAUCUUCUCCUUAUCAAAUACCACUAAGCAGCUAACCACUGAACACAUUUUGCAUCAUUAGCUCUCUUAUGUCAGUCUAGUACCAAGCAUUUACUGACAUUCUAACUUAUUUUCACAGAACCACAGGAGUUGCUACCACCUCUCUGGGCAGCCUUUUCCAGAGCUUCGUCACUCCAACAGUAAAGAAGUUUAUUGUGUUUAUACUUCAGGUUUCCUUCUAUUGUCUCUAGGUUUUCUAGACUUGAAUUUUCUUUGGCUUCAUUUGGGUGUUUUUUUAUUGUUGUGUUUAUGAUUGCUGCCUACUUUUAAUUAUUGACAUUCCUUCCUUUUCCAGAAAGCGCUUUUAAUAAAAGUGUUUUUUAAUAUCAAAAUAUUGUGGAACACAAUAAAUCUUCUGAUAUACAUCCUGAUUUUUGUUAAUACCAUGAUGUUUCUUGACUUUUUUUUUUCUUAAGAGAAAACAAAUCAGGCAGAUGUAGACAAUUUAUCCACAUGAGUGUAUCUCAGUGUAUGGUAACUGUUGAGUCACAACCUGAACCACUGAUUGAGCAGCUGGGGAAAGGACCAGGUCAGCCCUGGGAGCAAGAGGUGAAGGUGAUUCUCCUGUGUGACCAGAAGGCGUGGAGCCUGGCUGCACCUCUCUUAGACCCCAUUUAAGGGCUGACUGCCACUGGGGAAGGAUCUCUUUCUGGAGAUCCCUUUUUGGUGGAGUUUUGCUCUGUGAACCUGGAAUCUUCAGAUGCAAAGCUCCACAGGGCUAUGUGAAGAAGGCUUCCAAAGGAGAGAUCACGUCUAGAACCCUCCUGUAGAUGGAUCACAGGCUGUUGGGCAUGUUGAAAAUGCUGUUGCGUUGGCAGACAAGCUUUGGCAAGCUGCUUCAUAGAGGCUGAAAGGAGGUUUUGCUUCCAGCUCCACUCCUCUGCUGGAAUUACUGUCUGCACAGUAAUGGGGGAAUGCAGACCUUUGACUUAGCAGCUCUGGUGCAAAGGGUAAAACAUUCACCUUUGCUAAAGGUUAAAACUGAAAUGCUUUUCUGGAAGCAUAGGUGAAUUUGCACUAAAACAUCAAACUGAGUAGAAGAAAGAGAAGCACUUGAUUCCUCCUGCUGCUCUGGUGGUUGGGAAGAUGGGAUGGAAAAGGAGCCUACUAGAUCCAUGGAUCAGAUAUUCCUGUCAUUUUUGCCAGUGCAGUGAAGAUGAGGAUGACUUAUUGGAUCGUUGUCUCACUUACUUCAGAUUAGAAAGGAUAUGGUAAUGUGCAUAAGUUCAGUAUUCACAGAUUAAACAAAUUCUAGUAAGUGUUAUUGAUAGGAGAUAACAAGUAUGAAAUUUAUUAAUUGCUUAAAUUGACUUUUACACUGCAAGAAAAACAUCUUUUCCCUCUCCCCUGCUGUCACUGACAAGUGUGGAUGCAUGUGAUGUUUAAAAUGUUUAAUUAUGGCCAAGACAAUGAGCAUUAUUAGGUUCAGUGACCUGUAUACCUGUGUAUCUCCUGCUGUAGGGAACCUGUUUUAGUAGGGAGGUUGGGACUCUGUGAUCUCUAAAGAUCCCCUCCAACCCCUGCAAUUCUGUCUGCUUUUAAGUCACGUAUGCACUAUUUCUCUAUACUGACCUAACUCAGAUUCAUGUGCAGCCUUUGCUGCAUAUUCUAAUUUGGGGUUUUGUGUUAUGUACAAGUGGAAGAGUGGCAUGGUUACGAUGGUACUUUACAGGUGUUAUAGUUGGAAAGAUUACUGUGGUGAAAAAGAGAUGAUCAAAGAAGAAAUGCUCACCUGUAUCUGAGGAUCUAGGUUCACAGUGGAAAAACUCCAAAAAAGAGGGAUCUCCAGAAAGAGAUCCUUCCCCAGUGGUAGUCAGCCUUAAAUGGGGUCUAGCCUGGCUCCACCCCCUUCAGUCACACAGGUGAAUUGCCUUCACCUGAGCUCCCAUGGCUGACCCAGUCCUUGUCUCGGGUGAUCAAUCAGUGGUUCAGGCCAUGACUCAAUAGUUCCCAUACCUGUUAUAAUUUGAGAACUGCUUAUACAUGCAGCCUCAUACAGGAGUGUUUCGUAGAUUUGUUGGGUUUCUUUUUUUUUGAGUGUAUGUGUAUGUUUUCCUAGUUGUUGUUUUGUUUGUUUUCUUUCAUACGUUAAGAUAACUUUACAUAGGUGGCUUAAUUCUGAAUGUCUAUAAAGGCUGAAAGGUCCUACUUUGAUCCUCUGUACAGUUAAGGCCCACUGAGUGUGUAGAAUCAGAUCUCAACAGGUAUAUGGGUUAUUUGUUAUUAAUUUAUUAUUAGGAUGAUAAACAAAUGGAUGAUAAACAAGGGAAUAAGCAAAUAGUUUGGAUGAUGAACAGAUUCUAUUCAAAAUAUUUGCAAUAAAAACAAAGCAGCAUUUGCAAGUCCAAUCUCUUGUUAGCGAGUCCAAGUGAAUAUAUUAACCUUAAAAUAUACAUAGGCCAACAAUACCUGGGAUGUGGGCAGACACAAAUUCAUAGCUGGGAUUAGCAUAAUCCCUAUAUUUAUGUUCAAUAUAUGUGUGUAUAUAUAUAUUAUAAAGUGGAAAAGCACUAAGAAAAUAGGGUUUGAUUGGAGAGCAGAGGUGAAUCAUCUUCGUAAUUUGAAUUUGUAACUCAUGCACAGAAUGGAAACAGAACUAUAUACAAUAGCACUUUAUUGACUCAUUAAUAUUUAUUUAUAUACACAGUAAUAUACCAUCCAUCAACAAAUUGGACUCUUUAAUAAAUAGCAUUAACGUUGCUUGUUUUUUGCAUAAUCAGUUAAUUAAUGCUUCUGCAUUUGACAUUCUCAUUUACUUUAUGUUGCAUAAUGAUUUAUCUUGUUCUGUGCUGCAGUGUUUACUCCUAAGGAGUAGAAAGUUAAACAGUAAACUUUGUUAAACAGUAUUUUGUUGCCCAGUAGCUCGAGUAAUCAAAGUAAAAUCUAUUAACACAUUAAUUAGUAUCUUAAUAUUCAAUAAAAUACCCUUUUCUUUUCUUUUGGAGGCAUAAACAUCAUUGCAGAAGUUAUUAUUGUAAAAGUUCCAGACAGGUAAUUCUCAAAGUAUGUGCACGUGAAUCCUGUAAGCAGGACAUAAGGAGUACUGAAUAACAGCAGAAGUAUGUGGUCUGUAGGCAAAUAUGGACAAUAAAAUGGGGUGUUGACAACCUGAUUAGACUUUUUUUUUCCUUAAGCAUUGUUCUAGUUUUAAAGCAACUUUUAAAUUAAAUUGAAAUUUAAUUUAAAUCUCCCAUAUUUUUUUCUGUAAGGAUAAAAGCAAAUAUUGUCAGUUUCUUUACAAAAAACAAAGGUCAUGAACUCUGAUAAACCAGUAUACAAAUAAAUAAAUGGUUUUUAUAGCAUCCUCUCCCAUUAGAUUGCAGCUCCAUUCCAGGAGCAUGCUGGCCUUUUGAAUAUCCAUAAUGAAAAUGUAGUGCCAAAGGCAGGUGACAAAGCACUAACAAAUUGGAACAAAAGAAAAAAAGGAAAAGCAGUAUCAGGCAUGCUACCUGCUGGCAAGAGCAGUAUUAUUGACCCCGUAAGAAAGCAUGAGUUUCCAUUUACAGUGUAUGCAAGAUGGGGCUCAGAGUUAGUGAGGUUUGUAAGUGAAAUACAUCUUAAAAAAAAAAAAAAAAAGCAAAAAGUGAAAUAAUAUUCACUUGCUAUUUUUUUCUAUUUAUUUGUGGGAACAUUUGAGUAAUUAAACAAAUUUUUGUCCUAGAAGCAAAGCAACCAAAUAAACUGAUCCAAAUUAUUGGACUUCUGGUUUCCUGCACACCUAAAAAUAAAUAAAGAAAUAAACACUGAGAACUUUUUGUAUAUAGGAAUUAAGUUAGCACUGAUGGAGAGUUCUUUUUAGUUCUGUCAGUGCCUGCAAGUAUUCUCUGUAGGUAGUACAGAUACACCUGGCAAAAGCAAAGAAUGUCCAUCCCCUCCCACAUGGCACCUCCUGAUCACUGUGUAGCUAUACAGUUUUCUCUUUCCUCUUAUGCCUAUGUGUCUCCAAUGGCUCCAGCAGAACUCCAGGUAGCUGCCCAUUGCACACCGAAGAGGAGAUGCACUCUUCUUGCAUCAGCAGCAGUCAGGAAAGCCAUCAAAAUAAUAGUUGUACAAAGCAGCUGUUGUACAAAAAGUAGUUAUAGGAAGUUGUACAACAGCUGUGCAAAAAUGAUCUAAAAUAUACUUUUUCAGCGACAGUUGCCCAUAGAAAAAUUUGAUGAGCAAUUCUACAAGUUUUCACCUUUGAGAUUUCAUUUCACAAACACUUUUCAUCAUGAGGAAUAAAAAGUUGGCAGGGCCAUUGAUUUCAUCUAAAAUGUUUGAUUUAAAAUGCUUUCCGUCAAAUAAAUGUGUUUCAUGAUGUUCAACUGCCUGGUUUCUUUUUACAUGUUGUCGAUGUCAAUGCCAAAAACUACCUAAGAUUUACCAUGUUGGUGCCGUGCUAUAUAUUGCUCCAUGGCAUAACAGUUGUCAACUCCAAGGUCACAGCUUUAUUAAAGGAUCAAGAUUUACAAUAAUGUUAGCUCCAGCAUGAAUGCCUUCACACACAUCUUCCCAUACUUUACUUCUCUGAGGUCACCAGCCCAAUCUCUCCCCCUGCCAAAGCUACUAAUCCAUAAAUACUGCAGUCUCCUGAACUAAGUUCAAAUGGACCUAUCAUCUUCUUUGAGUAAUAAAUCUUUACUUUUGUUUAACACCUGCCUUCAGAGAAUGCAACCCUCUUUACCUGCAGUAAUUAAUUUACCUUCACCACGUCCUUAUGUGGUGCUUAAAAACUGCUCCCCUUUUACAGACUAAGGAACCGAGGCAUGAUGACAUGCUUGACUGCAGUGCCACAGGAAGACUGAAAAGACUUGGAAGCCUGUGUCUGCAUUUAAGUCUUGAAUGCUGAAGCUGAAAGCUGUGCUAUAUCCCUCCCAGUCCUGUAGUGUCUAAACUGAGGCCUCUGUAGCUCUUCUUGUAAUGUAGUUUCAUGGCAUUGAUAAGGCAAACCUGAAGUUGGCUAUAUGGGAGUGUAUAGUCCUAAUCGAUGCACACAGAUAUAAAGAAGUAUUCUGCAGACUCUUUAUCACUCAAGGUGUGGUUGGGUAUCUUCUGGUUGUGCUUGCACUGUUGAAGGGAUUACUGCUACCAACUUACAUACCCCAACAGGGGGUACUGCUACCCCUCAUGCCUUCUCAGAUCUACAGGCCUGGCUUCCUACUUCAUUUCAGACAAGGCCAGUUAAUUACUUCAAGCAGCAGUUCUUUGCCAGAUGAUGAACAGCUCAGCUAACUCAUAGCAACCUCCAACAGAGCAGUAAUGAGUACAGGAGAGCAGUUAGCUCAGGUGCCAGCAGAGCCCCAGGUACAAAAAUACACCUUACCUCAGUGACUCAGCUUCCCAGCUCUGUCCUCUCCCGUGAGUCCUAUGCACAAGAAGUUUUGCAGUUGGCACUGGACUUUCUCCUGAGCUGAAGCGUGCAGUAAAUAUCCCAGCCCAGAUGACUUUACUCUUAAAUUGCUUAUAUGAAUGGGUGAACUUCACGACUACUAGAACACAAAGGCCUUCAAAUCUUGCCUUGGUAUGAUCUAAAAAUGAAGUAUUUGGGACAGUCUUUAGCUUUAUUUGGGUCUUAGCUUUUGCUUGGAAGGACAGCAGCAUUUUUAGCCAGUCAUAACUGAGAUCCUGAAUAAGAAAGCAGAGCCACCAUCCUUCACAGUAUCACAGAAGAGUUCAUCUUCCAUCCUCAUCUAAAGUGAGACCUGAGCUUUAGCUUCAUUUCGUCUUCUCUCUUUUCCCUCCAAAGCGUGGGACCAGAUAGUGGGGGCAUUGCCUUGCUGCUGAUCCCUGGCAGAUACAAGCAGCAGCCCUGAGGGAUGGCUAAAGCCUAAAUAGUUUUGAAAUCCUGGAUGCUGAAGGCCUAAUUGAACCACAAGGCUUAAUGUUUUGUAUUUUCUCUUCCCUGAAAAUAUAAUUUCAGGCUACAGAGAGAGUUUCCUACCUAGCGAUCUCCUCUAGACAUCUGCUUGUGGUAUAGACAGUUGCAGUCCCAAGGAGAAAAGAAACAUGGAAGCGAAGGAACGAUUUAUCUUCAGCCCAUGGCGCAUAUUUUUAAUACAGGAUGAGAGACCAGGACCGACCUGAAUCUUAGUUUUAUUAUGAACCAAUAUAAUUUCCACAAAUGAAUAUAUUUUGAAACAAACACAGUCUCUAUGAAUUGGUUUCUUUUAAAAGUAUUGCCAGCAUUUUGUUUGUUGUUCAUCUGCCAAGAGUUACAUUUGAGGUGGUCAGUGCUAGAUGGGCUAAACAAGCCCAAAUUCUUCUCUACCUGGAGAGAUUUGUUGGCAUAACUACAUCACUGUAGUGGUCUCCUUACAAUUCCUUAUUCUGGAAGAAAAGUGCACAGCCAUGCUGCUGGAUUACUGUUAAACUUUUUUGUCAGUAUGAUUCAGUAGGCAGAAAUUUUUAACAAAAUAUUACUAAUAGCACUAAAACUACACACAUAAAUGCUGCUGACCACAGUGAGAGGUCAGAUGCAUUCCUGAGCUGCCUGUGCAAGGCGUCCCAUAAGCCAUCCUCUGAACCCCCCUCUGCAGCUGAUAUUGCUGGCACAGCCACCUCCGUACUAUGCAGUAUGUUCACCAGUGAUGUCCUACAGCAGAAUGACAUGCACACACAUAUGUUUUGUUUUGUGUAGGUUUACACUUCCAUUAGGCAGAGGUGCCACAGAGAGUCAGCCUUCUCAGUAUGCUAUGCUGCAGCAGCUGCCUAAUGUACACCACAGAAUAAUCUGAGCUGGAAAGGACCCUAAAGGUCACCUGGUCCAACUCCCCUGCAAUGGACAGGUACACCUACAGCUACAGCAGGUUGUUCAGUGCUCUGUCCAGCCUGACUUUGAAUGUCUCCAGGGACGGGGCAUCCACCCGUCUGGGCAACCUGUACCAGCGUUUCACUGUUCUAACUGUAAAACACCUUUUCCUUAUAGCCAGUCUAAAUCUCCUGUUUUAGUUUGAACCCAUUUCCCCUUGUCUUAUCACAACAGACCUUGCUAACAAGUCUGUUUCCUUCCUUCUUAUAGUCCCCCUUUAGAAGGCUGCUAUGAGGUCUCCCUGGAGUCUCCAGUUCUCCAGGUUGAACAGCCCCAGUUCCCUCAGCCUGCCCUCAUAGGAGAGGUGUUCCACCCCCUGGAUCAUGUGUGCGGCCCUCCUCCUCCAGCAGGUUUAUAUUUCUCCUGUACUGUACACCCAACUUAAGUUUCCCAGAAUGAAGUCCUAAAUUUAUUAGUUCUAGAAAGGGUAGCAGAAAAUGUUCAUUUAGUUAAUAAUCAAAACUCCUGAACAUUAUAACAGCUUAUAUAACAUGCCUUUAAUGCUUUGUGAAUACCUCCAUGUUUGAACCACUACUUUAUCAUCAAGAAGAGUGCAGAAAUGCCUUCACCAUUUAUGCAGAAGGUGCCUGCAAACACUUUCCUCUGAUUUCAUACUGUCAGCAAGCGUCAGUCUGUCCCUCUGCUACUACUACCUGAAAGAAAGGUGCCAAUGGCUCAGCUGGGUUGGCCAUAGAUUUGUUACCUCUCUGAGUGUCUGUACUAGACCCACUUGCUAACCUGUAGCACUUCCCCUAGCCACUUUGGGGACCAGCAUUUCGUAGCUGUUUCCACAUCCGCAUUUGCAGCAUACUCAACAUGGGCACGAUAGGGGGACAGGGACAUACAGUAGGGCAGGAUUGCCAGCAGCACUUGCAAGGCCCCAAGCGGGCAUCUGAACGUCAAGAACUUUCCCAGAUACGGAUUCUCUUAACUCUAGAAACUUUUGGGGGCCGAGAAGCUCUAAGAGCAGAGCGGGACAAGGCGCGGGUGCAGCGCGCUGCCACAGGAACAGGCCCAUAUCCGAGCUCGCCCACCCGCCGCCACAGAGGUCGCG
ensembl:lncRNA